rfam:Angiostrongylus cantonensis strain Taiwan genome assembly, scaffold: ACAC_scaffold0004363
GCAGCGAUGUCCGAGUGGUUAAGGAGAUUGACUCGAAAUCAAUUGGGCUCUGCCCGCGUAGGUUCGAAUCCUUCUCGCUGCG